rnacentral:rRNA from 1 species
AUGGAACCCUAUGUUGGCAUGAGGUUUGACACCCUUCAAAUUGCUAAGGAUCACUACAACAACUAUGCCUUACGGAUGGGUUUCUCUGUCAAAAUGAACACCUCUGGGCAGACAGGCCAUGUAUUGGUAAAACAACAGUUUUGCUGCAACAAGUAUCUGAAGACAAAAGCUGAUGAUGGUGGAGCUGAGGCUCCUCCUAUCAUGGACCCUAUACCAGAUCCAAGACCUGUUGACACUGAUGAGGAAAUGGAAGAUGAACCUCCAAUCUUUGAUGAAGAGGAGGCUGGUGCUAGUAAGAAAAGGAAGAAAUGA